rnacentral:lncRNA from 1 species
AAGUGUUUAGGGUUUAGAGAGAUAGAGGAGUUCCUCUCUCAUCUGGUAAGAAAUCAUUAUAUUAUCAUAGUAAUUAAAUUUUUCUAAAAAGAAGAAACCGAUGUUAAGUGUGGGGUCUUUGAGUGAGAUAAAAAUUUAGUUUGAGUCUUGCUUACUUUGUCCUUAGAAUUAGAAUAAAAACUAAGGAACAUAAAAAUAAAAAUUUAUCAUUGGAUAACAUAAUAUUUUGACGUUUAAAAAGUUAAAUUUAAAUUUUUUAAUAGUCAUGUGUCUAUUUAGUUUUUAACUUGAAUUUAAGAGCGCAAAUUAGCCUUAGCCUUUAAAUUUUAUUGCAUUUAAUAUACAUGUUGACAAUUUCAAAGAUGGAUUCACUCAUUAUCACUUAAUGUUUCACAUUAAGUAGCUAAGUUUGAUUCAUCAAUAAAACACACUAAGUUCAUGCUGAUAUGUGUGGUCCAAAAAUAUGAUUGGUCUUUGGUUUUUUUAUCCCUUCCUGUUACGAAAAGUUAUUAAACUAAUAGAUAUUUAAUAAAAAAUUAUUGAAUUGUUAUGAGUGAUAAGUUUUUAAUUUGAGGUCUUUAAUAAAUAUACUAAAGAGAUAAGUACAACUCAUUGAUAUAUUUAAAAGACAUUUAAUUAUGAUUAAUCUUUAUGGAAGUGUUUUUUACCACUCGAUAAGCGCUAAUAAAUAUUUGAUUUUUGUAAGAAGAGAAAAAGCUUUAUAAAUAAUGAAGUGAUAAAACCUUUUCUUACAUGAAAGAGAAAAAUUAUGGCUCAAAUUAUGAAGUUUGUUUAUUUUAUAAUUAUCUUAUUUUUCCUAUUUCCUAGUUCAACAAAUGUUGAAGGUAAGUUAUUUUUAUCUUUUUAAAAUUUUCUCUUCACCUUAUAUACAAUAUUCCAUCCAAUUUUCUUUUUUUUUUUCUUUUCUAUUUACAGCAUGGAUGCGUAGAUGUUUUAAAGAUUCUGAUUGUCCCAAAGAUUGGUGUCGAAAACCUAAGAUCAUGAGGUGUGUAAGUCACUCCUUGUGUAAAUGUAUGGUUCAAGGAUAUCUUAAACCCAUAUGAUUCUAUAUUUUGAGCCAUACUCAAGAGAAUAUACAAUAAACACUCCAUACUUCUAUGCUCUAGUUCGAGCUUGGUGCCUGCAUCUCAGGUGGUGUUGAUGGUUGAUUUUUUUUUCUUUGUGGAUUUUGUGCAUCUCGUGUACCUGUUUUCAAUUUCAAUUAUAAGCAGAUUUUGUUUAUACUUAAAUUUUUCAUUAUAUAUAUAUAUAUAUAU